UGAGGAAUAUUGGUCAAUGGACGGAAGUCUGAACCAGCCAAGUAGCGUGCAGGAUGACGGCCCUAUGGGUUGUAAACUGCUUUUGUAUGGGGAUAAAGUUAGGGACGUGUCCCUAUUUGCAGGUACCAUACGAAUAAGGACCGGCUAAUUCCGUGCCAGCAGCCGCGGUAAUACGGAAGGUCCAGGCGUUAUCCGGAUUUAUUGGGUUUAAAGGGAGCGUAGGCUGGAGAUUAAGUGUGUUGUGAAAUGUAGACGCUCAACGUCUGAAUUGCAGCGCAUACUGGUUUCCUUGAGUACGCACAACGUAGGCGGAAUUCGUCGUGUAGCGGUGAAAUGCUUAGAUAUGACGAAGAACUCCGAUUGCGAAGGCAGCUGACGGGAGCGCAACUGACGCUUAAGCUCGAAGGUGCGGGUAUCAAACAGGAUUAGAUACCCUGGUAGUCCGCACAGUAAACGAUGGAUGCCCGCUGUUGGUACCUGGUAUCAGCGGCUAAGCGAAAGCAUUAAGCAUCCCACCUGGGGAGUACGCCGGCAACGGUG
rnacentral:rRNA from 1 species